rnacentral:lncRNA from 7 species
GUGGCCAAUUGCCCCAAACUCUAAUUUCUACACAAAUAUGGUCGCACACCGUGCCUGUUCAAACAAUCAUAUCCUUCCACCAAUGUGAGAAAGAGAGGAAACUUAGCAAUGGUGCUGACAGAUGGUUGGUUCAUUAUUUCAAAUAAUCUAUUGCAAGCUUUAGGAUACUAGUCGGUAGUUGUAUACUUGUAUGUUGUGUUUAGGCAAAGAAAUUCAUCUGCAUUCAUUUGGAUGCUUGGAAUUUGAUUCUCCUUACGUCCCGUUUGGAUCUUUGGAAUUGAAUUCCAUUCUAAUAAUAGUAAUUAAACUAUAUAGAGAAGUGAGCCAAAGAGCGUUUUAUAAGUUGCAGAGUAGAAACAUGUUCCGUUGAUAUAUAAAAUCAUUUCUCAUACUCCGCCCCAUGAAUUUAAGAUAGACUUAUAUCUGAGCUUUGGAAAGUGGUGGAAUGUCAAAUUCCAAGCCAAAUAGAGUACUUUAUUAAGUAAAUCCCAAUUCCUCCAAAAUGAAUAGAUCCAAAGGGCUUGUUAUUUCAAACUUCUAUGUCAUCAAACUUCUAUGUUAGCAUGGUUCUUUGCCACUUACCAAGUUCAACGUUUAACUUUAAAGGGAUGAUGCAGUAUGACUUUGCGUCACUUGUGCUACAUGUUACUACCUCCGUUCUUAAAUAUAUGACGUUGUUGACUUUUUUAAAAACUUUGACUGCUGGUCUUAUUCAGAAAAAAAUGUGAAUUAUCAUUUAUUUUGCUAUGAUUUGUUUUAUCACUUAAGGUUGUUUCAGCAUGACUUGAAGUUUUACAUUUUUGAAUAAAUAUUUUGAAUAAGGUGAGUGGUCAAAGAUUUUUUUUUAAAGUCAACGGCGUCAUAUAUUUAAGAAUGGAGGGAGUACUUAGUAAUGUCAAACUUAUAUUAUAGCAUUUAAUUAUUCUUAUUAUGGUUUGGCAGUUUGCCUCCACUAGAUUCUCUUAAAAGUUUUUUUGU